UAGGGAAUCUUCCGCAAUGGACGCAAGUCUGACGGAGCAACGCCGCGUGAGUGAAGAAGGAUUUCGGUUCGUAAAACUCUGUUGUUAGAGAAGAACAGCGCAUAGAGUAACUGUUAUGCGUGUGACGGUAUCUAACCAGAAAGCCACGGCUAACUACGUGCCAGCAGCCGCGGUAAUACGUAGGUGGCAAGCGUUGUCCGGAUUUAUUGGGCGUAAAGCGAGCGCAGGCGGUCAAUUAAGUCUGAUGUGAAAGCCCCCGGCUCAACCGGGGAGGGUCAUUGGCAACUGGUUGACUUGAGUGCAGAAGAGGAGAGUGGAAUUCCAUGUGUAGCGGUGAAAUGCGUAGAUAUAUGGAGGAACACCAGUGGCGAAGGCGACUCUCUGGUCUGUAACUGACGCUGAGGUUCGAAAGCGUGGGUAGCAAACAGG
rnacentral:rRNA from 1 species